CCUACGGGAGGCUGCAGUGGGGAAUAUUGCACAAUGGGGGAAACCCUGAUGCAGCGACGCCGCGUGAGUGAAGAAGUUUUUCGGUAUGUAAAGCUCUAUCAGUAGGGAAGAAAAUGACGGUACCUGAUUAAGAAUCCUCGGCCCACUACGGCCCAGCAGGCGCGGUCACACGUUGGGGGCAAGCGUUAUCCGGAUUUACUGGGUGUAAAGGGAGCGUAGUCGGGAGCACAAGUCCGGAGUGAAAUGCCGGGGCUUAACCCCGGAACUGCUUUGGAAACUGUGCGGCUAGAGUGGAGGAGAGGUAAGUGGAAUGCGUAGUGUAGCGGUGAAAUGCGUAGAUAUUGGGAAGAACACCAGUGGCGAAGGCGGCUUACUGGACUGAAACUGACGUUGAGGCUCGAAAGCGUGGGUAGCGAACAGGAUUAGAUACCCUAGUAGUC
rnacentral:rRNA from 1 species